rnacentral:rRNA from 1 species
GACGAACGCUGGCAGCGUGCUUAACACAUGCAAGUCGAACGGAAAGGCCCUGCUUUUGUGGGGUGCUCGAGUGGCGAACGGGUGAGUAACACGUGAGUAACCUGCCCUUGACUUUGGGAUAACUUCAGGAAACUGGGGCUAAUACCGGAUAGGAGCUCCUGCUGCAUGGUGGGGGUUGGAAAGUUUCGGCGGUUGGGGAUGGACUCGCGGCGUAUCAGCUUGUUGGUGGGGUAGUGGCUUACCAAGGCUUUGACGGGUAGCCGGCCUGAGAGGGGGACCGGCCACAUUGGGACUGAGAUACGGCCCAGACUCCUACGGGAGGCAGCAGUGGGGAAUAUUGCACAAUGGGCGGAAGCCUGAUGCAGCAACGCCGCGUGCGGGAUGACGGCCUGCGGGUUGUAAACCGCUUUCGCCUGUGACGAAGCGUGAGUGACGGUAAUGGGUAAAGAAGCACCGGCUAACUACGUG